rnacentral:rRNA from 1 species
GACGAACGCUGGCGGCGUGCUUAACACAUGCAAGUCGAACGGAAAGGCCCUGCUUUUGUGGGGUGCUCGAGUGGCGAACGGAUGAGUAACACGUGAGUAACCUGCCCUUCACUUUGGGAUAACUUCAGGAAACUGGGGCUAAUACCGGAUAGGAGCUCCUGCUGCAUGGUGGGGGUUGGAAAGUUUCGGCGGUUGGGGAUGGACUCGCGGCUUAUCAGCUUGUUGGUGGGGUUGUGGCUUACCAAGGCUUUGACGGGUAGCCGGCCUGAGAGGGUGACCGGCCACAUUGGGACUGAGAUACGGGCCAGACUCCUACGGGAGGCAGCAGUGGGGAAUAGUGCAAAAUGGGCGGAAGCCUGAUGCAGCAACGCCGCGUGCGGGAUGACGGCCUUCGGGUUGUAAACCGCUUUCGCCUGUGACGAAGCGUGAGUGACGGUAAUGGGUAAAGAAGCACCGGCUAACUACGUG